AACAACAACAACAAAAAGAAUACAGUUGAUAAUGCAAAACAAACAAAACCAAAAAACACAUCGCUGAAGAGUGACAUGCACACUGUGAGUUUAUAGAACUUAAAUAUAUGGUUCAGUGGGGGCGGGGGGAAUACAUUCCUAAUCACCCGGAAGUUGCCUGAUGUCCCUGCCAAGUCCACAUCCACACUUUCCCAGCCAGAGGUGCGCAGGAGUCGGACCAUGCCGAUUCUUCUUGAGAGUUAUGGAGCUGUGUAUAAACAGGGUCUCCAGGCCCAGAUCCGCUGUGUACAGGUUCUUUCUCAGCAUCGUGCCUGUGCAACUUCUUUGUAGUGACUGUGUGGAUUUUUAACUUGCAGGGAAAUACUCCAUUAUGUGCUAUAUACAAUGCAACCUGGUACCUUUUGUUUACCCAGCUUUCCGUUUGUACUUGGGCUUUUUUUCUUCUUCUCCUGUGUGGGGGCAAUUACAGAUAGGGCAUUUCCUACACUCAGGGCUUCUGUUCCAUGCCUGGCAUUGUCCUAUUGUGUUCCGGUCCUGGCCGUCUGUCCUGCUUUCCUCCCUCUCUGGGAACCUAUUUGGCUGCUGGGACUUAGGGUGUGUGACCUGGACCUUUGAUGGUCCUAUGGGGUCUCACACUACCUUGGAAGGCCAAGCUGUGGCUCUUAGUCCCUUAGAGCUGUGGCUCUAAGCUGUGACAGUCUUAGUCUGGGGAGACUGAGACUUGCUUCAUGGGCUUGCUUCUCUAUUCUUGCUGAUGCUAACAUCUGUGGACCACCUUUUAGCACUGGUUGCUCUUGCCUAACUCUUGUCUGCAUCCCUUGGCUGUCAGCCAGUUGGGAGGCUUCUUGUAUGCCUCCAAUGAACCUUCAAGGAUGCUUCUGGAACUGGGAUAUUUAUCAGAGACAGAUCAGGAAAGCCAGCACCAUUAGACAUGCAGCUCUGUGCUGCCUUGGGGACACAUUCUUGGCUGUCUUUCCAAAACGUUCGUGGUAUGGUACUGUCUGUCAGUAUUAACAAGCAUGGGUUUCCCUAAAUGUUUUUAUCUUUGUGUGUGUGUGUGUACUUGGGUGCACACAACUAGUAGUAUGUGCAUUCCUGCAUAUAAGUAUGCAUUUAUUUGAUUUGUACGUUAUCAUAAAAUAUUUUCUCUUUGCUAGGCAUGAUGGUGUGUGUGUAUAAUCUCGGAGUCCAGGAGGCUGGGGCAGGUAUCUUCUCCACUUCCUUCCUUGUCCCCUCAAAGAUGUUGACUAACAUCAAGGCAACACCUUCUUUGUAGAUGAAAGAGCAGUUGGGCUGUCAGCUGCUCAAACCGUUUUGUUGUGCAACCUCGUUUGAAAACGAUGUGAGGAAGAAUAAACAACCGUGAAUGUGGAGUCAAGGAGACCUGAGGGUGAAGCCCAGCUUGGCUGCCUGCCUGCUGUGGACCUUGGACAAAUUGCAUGGCAAUUCUGGGUCCCUGAUCUCCUCUUCUGACACACCAUGACCUGGUGUAAUGUGGGACGCCCGACUUGCCUGCAAGUAAGACGCCACAAC